rnacentral:rRNA from 1 species
AGAGAGAGACAUGCGCGCAUAUCAAUAAGCGGAGGAAAAGAAACUAACAAGGAUUCCCUUAGUAACGGCGAGUGAAGCGGGAAGAGCUCAAAUUUGAAAUCUUCAAGGUUUUACCUUGACGAAUUGUAGUUUAAAGAAGUGUUUUCUGCUGAAGUUUUGGUAAAAGUUCUUUGGAAUAUGGACAUCAUAGAGGGUGAGAAUCCCGUAUUUGACCAUUAUUUUCAGCUUUGUGAUACACUUUCAAAGAGUCGGAUUGUUUGGGAAUGCAGUCCAAAAUGGGUGGUAAAUUUCAUCUAAAGCUAAAUAUUGGCGAGAGACCGAUAGCGAACAAGUACCGUGAGGGAAAGAUGAAAAGAACUUUGAAAAGAGAGUUAAACAGUACGUGAAAUUGUCAAAAGGGAAGCGUUUGACACCAGUGUUGUUUUCUCGAAAAUCAAUUAAAAAUGGCUCGAUUUUGUAUUGUUGAGACCUUAAAAGCUCACUGUACAUUUUUCGUGUCUUUUUUAAUGCACUUUUCGUUUAACAAGUCAACAUCAGUUUCUUUUGUUGUAGAAGGGUCAUUGGAAGGUGGCUUUCUUUUCGGAGAAAGUGUUUAUAGCCUUUGGCCUCUGCAAUCGGAGAGGACUGAGGUCUGCAGCGUAGACUCUUCGGGGUUAGAUACAUUUGUGCUAAGUUAUAGCUUUUUAUAGACAACUUGUUGACUAUAAUUAGUCUUGUAGCUUACUCGCUUAUGCUAUUUUACCUACGCUUAGGAUGUUGAGUCGUAGAGCACGCAG